rnacentral:rRNA from 1 species
AGAAUCAACGCUGGCGGCGUGCCUAACACAUGCAAGUCGAACGAGAAAGUGGAGCAAUCCAUGAGUAAAGUGGCGCACGGGUGAGUAACACGUGACUAACCUACCUUUUAGUGGGGGAUAACCUAGGGAAACCUGGGCUAAUACCGCAUAACACUUACGAGUCAAAGCAGCAAUGCGCUGAAAGAGGGGGUCGCGGCCGAUUAGCUAGUUGGCGGGGUAAUGGCCCACCAAGGCAGUGAUCGGUAUCCGGCCUGAGAGGGCGCACGGACACACUGGAACUGAAACACGGUCCAGACUCCUACGGGAGGCAGCAGUGGGGAAUUUGCGCAAUGGGGGAAACCCUGACGCAGCAACGCCGCGUGGAGGAUGAAGUCCCUUGGGACGUAAACUCCUUUCGAUCGGGACGAUAAUGACGGUACCGGAAGAAGAAGCCCCGGCUAACUUCGUGCCAGCAGCCGC